UACGAAGGGGGCUAGCGUUGCUCGGAAUUACUGGGCGUAAAGCGUGCGCAGGCGGUUUCACAAGCUCGAUGUGAAAGCCCCGGGCUUAACCUGGGAAUGGCAUUGAGGACUGUGGAGCUCGAGUGCGGCAGAGGGAGGUGGAAUUCCACGUGUAGCAGUGAAAUGCGUAGAGAUGUGGAGGAACACCGAUGGCGAAGGCAGCCUCCUGGGCCGACACUGACGCUCAUGCACGAAAGCGUGGGGAGCAAACAGG
rnacentral:rRNA from 1 species